rnacentral:rRNA from 1 species
GGCGGACGGGUGAGUAACGCGUGGGUAACCUACCCUGUACACACGGAUAACAUACCGAAAGGUAUGCUAAUACGGGAUAAUAUAUUUGAGAGGCAUCUCUUGAAUAUCAAAGGUGAGCCAGUACAGGAUGGACCCGCGUCUGAUUAGCUAGUUGGUAAGGUAACGGCUUACCAAGGCGACGAUCAGUAGCCGACCUGAGAGGGUGAUCGGCCACAUUGGAACUGAGACACGGUCCAAACUCCUACGGGAGGCAGCAUG